CGAAUUCGUUCCCUAAGUUUUUCCCAAUCCUCAUUCUGCCGAGAGGAAGUGAUGUUCAAUUCAGCCGCGACAUCAUCAUCAACUUCCAACUUCUUGUACUACUCGACCAAGGACUUAGUUCGCUCAAUUCCCUGGGAGGCGUUGCGCUUUUUAACGGCCAUUCUCGCCCUGCAGUCGUCCAUUAUGGCUUGAAGUUCCCUCAUCUGAGCAGCCAAGUUAACCAUCAAAGAGUCUUCAACCAUGACUUCGGAAGAGAUUUCUUUCAACUCGUCCUUAGCCUUGUAAAUCUCCAUACGCAAAGACUCUUUCUCAGCUACGGCUCGAAGAUAUUGAGUACGCUUGGCCUUUAGUUCAGCAUUCUUGGCCAGUAUAGAAAGGAUCUCAAAGUGGAUAACCUUCAACGUCGCUUUAAAAUCGGCAGGAAGAUUGAGUGACGGAAGCAUCAGUGCUUGCUCCAACUUCGCACUCAAGUGUUCAAGUUCAUCCUUGUGUCUGGCAGCACUAGCCCUUCCAAUAUCCAUAUCCAUGAAGGAUACGUACUCAAAUAUCGACUCCUUGAGGAACUUCAAAUCUUCCUCUGAAGAAGUAGCAGGACGAUCAGAUGGAGCAAGGCGAGACGUCUGGACUUGCCCCUAGGAAGUGAACAAGUCUUGGAUAGAACGCACAAUCCUAUCAGCA
rnacentral:lncRNA from 1 species